GCCACAGCCAUAUCACCCUGCAGCCCAAGACUGGUUGCCCACUGAAGCUAAGCAGGGCUGAGCCUGGUCAGUACCUGGAUGGGAGACCUCCUGGGAAAACUAGGUUGCUGCUGGAA
rnacentral:rRNA from 1 species